UGUGUGAGUGUGAGUGUGUUCCACACAUGUGACCAGCCAUCCUGGCAUAUAUCAUGUUUCCUUCCGCGCCGUCUCCGCCUAGCCAGGGGUCACAAAGUCCCCGCGAGGGGUCAUCAGAAGGUGGUUGUCGACGAGGAAAGGUCGCGGCGAGGUCGCGAGUGUGUGACGUUUGAACUGCUUGCUCCGUGUUUUUGCUCUGUGAGUCAUUUAAUGUCUUAGUGGUGGGAUCCAUUUGAGUGUGUCUUCGCCCGCCAGGAGGUGAAACAGAUGUCUGACAGGGGACUGGCAGCUCGUAAAUACCCGUGGAGAUGAAGAUGAGAAAGCGCCGGGCCAACGAAACACACGCUGGUCGUCAGAGGACUCGUUGCCGUCACCAGAUUUAUGAACACGUGGAUCAGCGGUGGGGUACAGCGAAUUGACUUUGUGCAUCAUGCUUUCUAAUCUUAAAAUGAGGCCUGAACACAACUUCGUACUUAAUGGCCUCAACCAUGGCAAGUACGGUGGCCUUAAAGCAACAUCAAGAGAGGGGCGAUGAAUGGGGAGGUGGAGGUCUGCUUUGCCUCUUGGGACACACACGGAGCGCUCCAGUGUUUACAGAGGAGAUUAGAGCAGUUCCACUCUGUACCUCAGCUUCCACAUGUGGAAACCAUGAGAGGAAUGCACAGCGGCGGCGGCGGCGGCGGCGAUGCGCUGACAAGCGUGUGCUGGGUGCAUCACAUUACUAAUCUUUUAUCGGGCUCCGAAACCUCCUAAAUCCCAUCUUGUGUUUUCCCGCACGGCCGCCGUGAUGAUGACACGCGCGAGCAAGUGAGCCUCUUACUCAUGGUACACUUCAUUGGGGUCCCAAAAGUGCCACAGGUUAGAGUUCCACACACAAUAUUUUGGAAAGCUUGGGAUUUCAGCUCAGUGAGGAGUUAUAGCACAUGGGAAAAGUAUUAUGACAACCAAAGAAUCAAAAAUAAAACCCAACAGGAAAAGGGUCUGGCUGAUCAGAAUACACGCAAUGCAAAUAAAUAUCCUACUGUAAAUGACCUGAAAAAUGGCGACACUGUGGACGACAUCUGCCUCACAGUCCUGAGGUCACGGGUUCAAAUUAGGCUUUACACGAUCAGGAUUUUUGGGGCCGAUCCGAUCCGAUCACAAGAUGGAGCAAUGUGUCUAUUUACAUGACUUGUUCAUUUAUUGUGUAUACUUGUGUACUGUAUACUGUAUCCACGUGAGCAUUGAAGUCCCCCCAGCAGAACGAUGGCGGGCUCUCCAGCACCCCCUCCAAGGACUCCAAAAAGCGUGGGCUGUCUUUACAGGGCAAGUAUCCACCCAUCCAUCCAUUUUCAACAGCGCUUAUCCUGGUUAGGAUCACGGGGCGCUGGAGCCUAUCCCAGCUGACUUCGGGUGAAAGGCGGACUACACCCCGAACUGGUCGCCAGUCAGUCGCAGGGCACAUAUAGACACGGACAACCUUUCACACCACAUUCACUGAGUGGGAACUGAACCCACGCUGCCCGCACCAAAGUCAGGCGAGUGUACCACUCCACCAUCAGUGACCGCAGGGCAAGUAGUUUUACUUUAUUUUCGUUUUCUUUACACAGUGAUUAACUUCACUUUACCCUUGUAUGACAGUUAAGUACGUCUAAAAGCACAGGUGUGACACUGACACCCAGCACAACCUAUUGUUGGGUUUCGCGUAAAUAUUUAAUGGUGCGGUCCAAUGCCUCACAGCUGAUAGGGUUGCAACUGUGACUCACUACAACAACUGUGAACACGCUACAGGAAGUUCCUCUUUUUGUCCUUCAAGUCUUAUUUGUGUGCUAAAACUCAUUUUCUUUAUCGAUGGCUUUUUGGCCACUCAGUGACACUGUACAAAACAUAUUCAAAUGCAAAUGUAUACUUUUGUUUGGCUCGUAUAAAUAAAAUUCUCUAUUUUUAGCGCCUGUUGGCCACGGGAUCCGCUAACAGAAAGGUGAUCGUUCAUUACGAGCUCGUUUGACACGGAACAAAAGAGUAAGAGAGUUAUUGCGCUAACGACACGAUCGUCUCGCUAAUUGUCUCCCACUUUUACACACUGACUUGCAAUAAUGCUCCUUCUUACAUUACAGUCUUUACACUCGGUGAUUAAAUCAAAUCUCAGAUUUUUUUGUUUUUUUUUUAAAUCUGAUUUUGGGUCUUAAUAUUUUUUUCCCUUUCACUUAUAGGUAAAGCAAAAGGCAAUAUCACAUCCAUAUUAUUAAAUAUUUAGAUUUUAGUCUCCCCCCCCUUCUGGGAUUUGCUUUAUUUCUCCGAAUACCGUUUUUUCCCCCCCAGCAUUAACUUGCAUCAACUUCCACAGAAAUAAAAAAUAUACAUUAUUCUUUUAAGAUUACAGCUAUCUUUAUUUAAAAAAAAAAAACAGACUUAAAAAAAAAAACAUUUCCUUGAAAAAUCAGCUUGUUUUAAGAUUAUGACAAUUUUCCUAAAUAAAAUAAAAAAUGCCUUUAAACAAUCGCCCAUUUUCAUCUUGGAAAAAUACAUUAUUUUCUAAAAUUAAAACUUUUCUUGAAAGAACAAAAACCCCCAAAAAAGCAGGGAUGCUCCAAUGAUUUAUUUAUUUCCAUUUGAGGCGCAAGUCACCAGCUGUGAACAGCUUUGCUUAGCCAGACUGUCCCAAACACAACUUCUCAUAAAAACCAAAAUGCAAAAUGUUUUUUGUGAUGCGAUGAGCUUAAUGGUUGAUCGGAUUUCAAAACUAGCUCCAAGAAGACGGAGCUCAGGUGGCUGAGCUGAUCUAAUCACGGAUCAAAUAUCAACCGCACUCAUUACUUUUGCCAAUAAUCCCCGUCUUGCCUCGUCUCGCUGUCCAUCCAUCUAUUUUCUGAGCCGCUUCUCCUCAUACGGGUCGCGGGCGUGCUGGAGCCUAUCCCAGCUGCCUUCGGGCCAGAGGCGGGGUACACCCUGAACCGGUCGCCAGCCAAUCGCAGGGCACCUAUAUACAAACAACCAAUCGCGCUCACAUUCACACCUACGGCCAAUUUAGAGUCUUUAAUCAACCUAGCACGCAUGUUUUUGGGAUGUUGGAGGAAACCGGAGUACCUGGAGAAAACCCGCGCAGGCACAGGGAGAACAUGCAAACUCCACACAGGCGGGGCCGGGGAUUGAACCCCGAUCCUCAGAACUGUGAGGCGCAUGUGCUAACCAGUCGGUCACUGUCUCGCUGUCGUCUCUUUUAAUUCCAUCUUUGGAGCAGGUUAGCCGCCCACCGGAUUCAUCAUCGUCAAAGCCGACAUUUUUUUGCGGGCAGAACAGAGGUCACAGUUGAAUUCCGAUCGCGUUCAAAUUUUGCGUGUUUGUUACCGUACCCGAGAUCUCAACAUGGGCCAAAAAUGUAAUAUUUUGGUUUCAUGUCUUCAGACAUUCUUAACAUACAGUGUCAUAAACAAAUGGUGGACACCUGCCAUUGCAACCAUUAUUUAUUGAUUGAUUUUUUGAAAAAGCUGGCAACAGCUUUUUGUUUUAUUGAAGUUCGGGGUAGAAGCAGAAGAAGCGGCAGCUUGGCCUCAUCAAAGGGUUCCCAACAGGUGGGAGUGUUUAUUGUGAACUCGUUGUUGAUGGAAAACAAGAUGCGUUUAUUCCAGAGACGAACGCUAAUAAAGCCCAGUUGAGAACGGGAUUUAGUUUUUUCUAGUAACUUAGUUGUGAAGCAUUGAAUCAAGAACAGAGGGAUCACAUUGCUUUUCUCCCAAAAGUCAAACAAAUCUGAGAUGUUUUGUGUUAUUUUGUUUUUUGCCUGCCUUUCAUUGCAGAGAACUGAAACCUUUUUCAUCUGGAUGCUUACCUUUAGCACAAAGACAAUAAUAGAUAACAUGUUUUCAUUUUAUAAAAACAAAAAUAAAUAUAAAUAAGUUAAUACAGCCAUUAUUUCAUAAAUACAUACUGUAUGCUUGCUGUCCAGUAAACAAAAAAAAAUGUAUAUCUCCAAACUUCAUCUUUCUGAAAGACAAAAAUAAAAA